AGCCUGAGCGCGCUACCUUUGCGCGGAUCCGUGUCACUCGCUCGGCUGCCGGCCCCAGGGUGGAGUUGGAAAGAAGUAGUCCUGUGGAGGAUGCGUUUCUAUUUUUAACCGGAUUGUCCGCCUUCAGCCUCUCUCCUUCCGCUUUUCUCAGUCAAGCCGACUUUUCGCCAUCUGAGUUCUCACGCUUUGUCUAAAGCCUUUGGCAGACAUUUCCAUUUCCUCCUUACUCUCCACCCCUUCCCCACCCAACAAGAACGUGUUAGAAGGAUUCGGCUCGAGAAGAGGAAAUGAACUGCUGUUUAGCUUCUGGUUCUUCUCGCCUGUUUAUGAAGUUUCCCUCGUCCGGUUCCCUCACACUCCCCUUCGGUUCUAAAGUCCAGCCUGAGCAUUGCCCUGAUGCUCCCGGGAAGGAGCGGGGGGCGGGCGGCGCUCGCUCGCUCGCUCGCUCGCCCAAGGUCACGGGUGGUUGUGCAGAGUCAGGAAGUGCUCUGCCGACUUGCUGCCAGUCUUCGGCCUGGGCGACACCGUUCUGAGCAAACUGUUUUGGCCAGCCUGUAAAAUCCCUGGAAAUGGACUAUUCCAGCAGAACCUCGUGAACUGGGAAAGCACCAAAUGUUCUACCCAGGAUGAAGUUAAGGAACAAACAAGCUAGACCCGAGGGAGAGAUCAAAAAGGAGACGUUGCAGGAGGAAGUUCAAAAGGGGGCAAUUCAAAAAUGAGGCACAGGCCCCGCCUAGUUUGAAAGGAUAAUAUGCAUAAGAUGGUUAAGAUUCACUAGGAGAGAAUCAACUACAGUGUGAAGUCCUGCAUCAUUUCUCUCCCAUCCAGAAACUAAUGACCAUGAUGACACCUCAUAACAGUGGUGAGACAGACACAUGUCUGUUGAUGGAAGAGAAAUUUGUGACUCAGAAAAGUUCAGUAACUCGAUCAAAGUUACUGAGACAACAGAAACGGAGCCAGGCCUCAAACCCAGGUCUUCUGAUGCCAAAGCCAGAAUUCUUUCCUGUACACCACAGCUGCCAUCUGGAACUUGGAUGAAGAAAGCAGUUUUUGGAGUUUGGUUACUGACCAAUGGACCUUUGUAUUACCCUGAAAGAAGCAGUGCCAGUGUAAUGGCAAGUUCACUAAAACGGGAGCCAGAAGAUUUGGGGCAUAAGAUUUAACCUCUUCACUCUCAGUUUUCUCCCUUAGAAAAUGGGCAUACUUACACCUACUUUUAUGGAUUUUUUUUUGAGGAUUAAAUAACAUAUAUAUUUAAAGCAUUUGGCACAGAGUAGAUACUCGGUAUUGUUAGGAAAAUUGUUUCUUUUCCUUUUUCUCUCCCUCCUUCACAAUCUUUUAACUAUUCCCUUGCAUUCUGGACCCAACGCUGCCACUUCCUAAUUUUGUGGCCUAGGGCAAAUUUCU